CGCGGUUAGACGGAAAAGACCCCGUGCACCUUUACUGCAGCUUCAGAGUGGCAUUAGGAAAGAACUGUGUAGCAUAGGUGGGAGGCUUUGAAGCCAGGUCGCCAGAUCUGGUGGAGCCAUAGGUGAAAUACCACCCUGUUGUUUUCUGAUGUCUAACCUCGCACCGUGAAACCGGUGCAGGGACCCUCUGUGGCGGGUAGUUUGACUGGGGCGGUCGCCUCCUAAAGAGUAACGGAGGCGCGCGAAGGUUGGCUCAGGACGGUUGGAAACCGUCUGUUAGAGUGCAAUGGCAUAAGCCAGCCUGACUGUGAGACCGACAGGUCGAGCAGAGACGAAAGUCGGU
rnacentral:rRNA from 1 species